GAUGAACGCUGGCGGCGUGCCUAAUACAUGCAAGUCGAGCGAACAGACGAGGAGCUUGCUCCUCUGACGUUAGCGGCGGACGGGUGAGUAACACGUGGAUAACCUACCUAUAAGACUGGGAUAACUUCGGGAAACCGGAGCUAAUACCGGAUAAUAUAUUGAACCGCAUGGUUCAAUAGUGAAAGACGGUUUUGCUGUCACUUAUAGAUGGAUCCGCGCCGCAUUAGCUAGUUGGUAAGGUAACGGCUUACCAAGGCAACGAUGCGUAGCCGACCUGAGAGGGUGAUCGGCCUCACUGGAACUGAGACACGGUCCCGACUCCUACGGGAGGCAGCAGUAGGGAAUCUUGCGCAAUGGGCGAAAGCUUGACGGAGCAACGCCGCGUGAGUGAUGAAGGUCUUCGGAUCUUAAAACUCUGUUAUUAGGGAAGAACAAAUGUGUAAGUAACUAUGCACGUCUUGACGGUACCUAAUCAGAAAGCCACGGCUAACUACGUG
rnacentral:rRNA from 1 species